UCACCUGAUCUUUCUUUUCCUUAGUAAUAAACUUCAAAAAGAUUACUAGGUACCCAGUUAAUACUUAGAAAGAAAAAAUGUGUGUAAAGGCUACCAUUGAAAGAAAAACAGACCUAUAAAGAAUAGAAAACAGAGAACAUGAAGAUUUUAUACUGGCUGAUAGCAACACAAUCCUCCAAAAAGCUGCAGCAUCCGUAUCAUGGGCUAACAAAUCCAGAACCUGAGAGCUGCACGUUUCAGGUAAAGAAAGGUCUGUUUCACAACAGAAGAAACAGAACUUUAAGAAGAGACAGAAAAUAGAGGGAAGAAAAAGAGCAUUGGCACACAAGGUCAAAGACAACCGGCGUGGGAGAGGAAGAGUUAACAGCCAGAACUUGUCCGUGUUUCCAAAAUAGAGCGGUGGCACCAACGUUGCCAUUCUGCCGUGUUUACAAGAGGGAACACAGUUC